AUUUUUUUUAUUAUGUUUGAUGUAAGGAGGGCCCAUAGGUCUUUACAAAGGGUGGUCUUUCUACCAAGUUGGAAUGUGUGUGUGUGUGUUCUCUCGCUAUGCCUCGUUGCUGGACGACUGGUGAGAGGGAACCAAUACACAGAGGGUUGGGACAUCACAAACCACUUCCUGGUGAUAAAUCACACCACCGACUGGACAAAGUGUGGGGAAGAAACACAGAAACACAGGACGACCCACCACGUCCUGGGACUUCCUCCACCCACCACGUCCUGGGACUUCCUCCACCCAGGAGAGUGGAACAAAAUUAUGGGCCCUGUAAAUAGGCGGUCUCUGAGGGUCCCUCCCCUCUAAAUUCAAGAUUCAACAUUUUUUGAGGGCCCCUCUAUAUAUUUGGGACCUAUAUACUUAGUUCACCUUUUUCACCUGGCCUAACGUCACUUCCUCCACCCACUACAUCCUGGGACGCCCUCCUCCCACCACUUCCUGGGACACCAUCAGGACUCAGCCCCCACCCCUAAAUGACUCUAACUAGGACAGAUAGGGACAAGGCCCUCAGAAAGGGAGGGCCCCUAAAAUCAUUAGGCAUAAAAAAAUAAAAAUGCUAAAACUAACACAUUUGUUCUUCCUAAUUAAGCAGUGUACCAGCUAACAAACAGUACUUACAAGCACCACUUUCACAUUGGCUUAUGUACACACCAUCAGGGAAGACAAUUUCACAAAUUAUUAUUGAAUAAUCACUGGUGGAUACAUAUUAAGAAAAGAUAAUGUCCCUGUUACCCAUUUCUUUAGAUUUUUUUCAGACAUGAGGAAAAUUGAUUGGUGGAGAUAUCAGAAGGUAGAUCAGCAUUCUUUUUUUAUUUAAAUUAUUUUGUCUGAAGGGUCUAUUAUUUAAUGUAUUAGGCAGCA
ensembl:lncRNA